UACAUGUCACAUUAUUAUUGUAGGAACAGCUUUUUAAUCCUACGGAGCCGUUUCUCUACAAGUGUGACUAGAGCAAUGCAAAGCCUGCGCUAGCUGGAGUUCUCGACUGGUUUCUGGAAACGCUAUUUUGGAAAUUGGAAUUACGAGAUUAUUCCUUACCGAGUGUCGGACAUUCUGUCUUACUGUAUAUAAACAUUAGGAACUGUGAAACCGUGAGAGGUCAAGUAUGUAUUAGACCAUGAUACGGAGAAGCUGGAUCUUGGUACGAUACGGGUCUUAGUAUGAUAGGGUCUUGGUAUGAUAUGGGUCUUGGUACGAUACAGGUCUUCCUGCCAUUCUUUGUGAUACGCCUUUGUUGUGUCCAAGAUG
rnacentral:misc_RNA from 1 species